GGGAAAACAGAGGAAAAUUACAAUUCAAGACACAUCAGAGGCUUCUUUUGUUUCUGUAUCAACAAUAAACACCAGUUAUGACACACCCUGCAAAUUUUUCUGGUUUUACAACUCUACAUUCUUCAUUUGUGAAAAAUAAUCCAGCUAUUUUGAUUGGCUGUAUGUGAACAAGACAGAGUAUAAAUACAGAAGGAAAAUAAGUUGAGAGAAAUCAUUUCUCUUAGACAGAGACACCACAUCAGCUGAUACCUGCUGACACAGCAACAUCACCGCUUCUGGCUGACUUGUCAAAAAUUCAGCAAAAAUAAGAAGCAGCUGUAGAACCAGAGUAUCUGCCAACCCGCUGAGCAAUCCAGAGCAUCACAACGCAAAGAGAAAUACAAGAUGGCAGCUCGUCCUUUUGAAUACCCUGAAGAAUGUAACGAAGUUGACAUUAGAGAGCAAACACUGAGUGCAAAUCCAGACACUCUCUAUUAUGAUAAAAGAAAAUGUGAAAAAUAUAACCUGAUUUUCAAAAGCCAGUAUCCUCUAAGCGACUGGCAGAAUGUCAUUAAGAUAAAAUAUCCAAAUCUUGAGGAAAGUCAAGAGACUGUGGUCAGACUCAAGUCGGUCGACGGUAC